CGCGUAGGCGGUUCGGUAAGUCAGUCGUGAAAUCCCUCGGCUCAACCGAGGAAUGGCGUCUGAUACUGCCGAACUGGAGUCCCGGAGAGGGUAGCGGAAUUCCCAGUGUAGCGGUGAAAUGCGUAGAUAUUGGGAGGAACACCAGUGGCGAAGGCGGCUACCUGGACGGGUACUGACGCUGAGGCGCGAAAGCGUGGGGAGCAAACA
rnacentral:rRNA from 1 species